CAGCGGCCUACGCGCCCGGCCGGGCCGGACCCGCGCCUCCCGACUCUCCUGGGGGUGGAGGGGGCCGUGCCAAUGUGUACUGCAGAGGUUAAAAAGUGUGAAAUACGCCAAUCACUUGUUUUUGUUUUUGGGUUAACGCUACCUCGGAGGAAGAAGAAUAGGAGCUUUCCUCAAACGACCACCGGACAGCAGACAAAGACCCCUCGCAACACGCCACGCAGAUGCAGAGCACGUCGAGACUGUCACAAAGUCUGGAACUGAAGGGGUAUGAGAACUGAAAGACCGGGAGGUGUGGUGCGAGCCGUUGGUGGGAGCAGAGGCUCCCCGGCCGCCCAGCGCUGCAUUUGCCCAUACUGCUUGCUUGCUAAAUUAAUAAAAUUCUCUUUAUAAAGUGA